GGUGAACGCUGGCGGCGUGCCUAAUACAUGCAAGUCGAGCGAACGGACGAGAAGCUUGCUUCUCUGAUGUUAGCGGCGGACGGGUGAGUAACACGUGGAUAACCUGCCUAUAAGACUGGGAUAACUUCGGGAAACCGGAGCUAAUACCGGAUAAUAUUUUGAACCGCAUGGUUCAAAAGUGAAAGACGGCCUUGCUGUCACUUAUAGAUGGAUCCGCGCUGCAUUAGCUAGUUGGUAAGGUAACGGCUUACCAAGGCAACGAUGCAUAGCCGACCUGAGAGGGUGAUCGGCCACACUGGAACUGAGACACGGUCCAGACUCCUACGGGAGGCAGCAGUAGGGAAUCUUCCGCAAUGGGCGAAAGCCUGACGGAGCAACGCCGCGUGAGUGAUGAAGGUCUUCGGAUCGUAAAACUCUGUUAUUAGGGAAGAACAUAUGUGUAAGUAACUGUGCACAUCUUGACGGUACCUAAUCAGAAAGCCACGGCUAACUACGUG
rnacentral:rRNA from 1 species